rnacentral:rRNA from 1 species
AUACGUAGGGUGCGAGCGUUAAUCGGAAUUACUGGGCGUAAAGCGUGCGCAGGCGGCUUUGCAAGACAGAUGUGAAAUCCCCGGGCUCAACCUGGGAACUGCAUUUGUGACUGCAAGGCUAGAGUACGGUAGAGGGGGAUGGAAUUCCGCGUGUAGCAGUGAAAUGCGUAGAUAUGCGGAGGAACACCAAUGGCGAAGGCAAUCCCCUGGACCUGUACUGACGCUCAUGCACGAGAGCGUGGGGAGCAAACAGGAUUAGAAACCCUAGUAGUCC